CGGGGUGUGGCGCAGUUUGGUAGCGCGCACGGUUCGGGUCCGUGAGGUCGGCGGUUCAAGUCCGCCCACCCCGACCA
rnacentral:tRNA from 4 species